GACGUAGGGGGCCAGCGUUGCUCGGAAUUACUGGGUGUAAAGGGUUCGUAGGCGGUGUGGCAAGUCGGGAGUGAAAUCUCUGGGCUCAACCCAGAGUCUGCUUCCGAAACUGCUGUGCUUGAGUGUGGGAGAGGCGCGUGGAAUUGCAGGUGUAGCGGUGAAAUGCGUAGAUAUCUGCAGGAACACCCGUGGCGAAAGCGGCGCGCUGGACCACUACUGACGCUGAGGAACGAAAGUGUGGGGAGCGAACAGG
rnacentral:rRNA from 1 species